ensembl:lncRNA
GAAGAUAUGACAAAGAAACAAGCUUCGUUUUGUUUUCAGUUUUAAGAAAUGACGCCAACAUUGCAGGCUGAUGUAUCGAAUGAUUUUAUGUGAUAACUUGUAACUUGGCAGGUUUCCCUGGUGGCUCAGACAGUAAAGAAUCUGCCUGCAUGCGGGAGACCUGGGUUUGAUCCCUGGGUCGGGAAAAUCCCCUGGAGAAGGGAAUGGCAACCCACUCCAGUAUUCCUGCCUGAAGAAUCCCAUGGACAGAGGAGCCUGGUGGGCUACAUGGGGUCCAUGGGGUUGCAGAGUUGGACACAACUGAGCAACUUACUGCUAACACAAUUUGUUAAGAUUAACAUAUUUUACACCUUUUAUUUGUAGUAGUUGUUGUAAUCUUAAAGAUGAGCAGGAAAACUUCAUGUUUAUAUGCCUUCACAACAUUUUGGCAUUAAUCUCCCCUCUGCACUGUAAUCUUUGUGAUUGUUGUGGAUGUUUAGUGGGUAUUACUGAGGGUGACACAGAGUGUGUGAUAGAUUAUAUGCUAAGAUGGUCACCAGCAGCCCCUCCUAUUCCUACAUGAGUGCUGGCCUCUCCUCUAGAAGUGUAGUUUAUUUUCCUUUCUCUUAAAUCUGGGAUGACCUUGCUUUGUCCAAAAGAAUGGAACAGAAGUAAUAUUGCACCAAGCUUUGUGAAGCAUUGCAACUUGUACUUUCAUUCUUUUUGGAGCCCUCUGAGACACAGUAUAAACGAGUCCAUCUAUUCUGCUCAACAGAGAAGCCAUAAGAAGAGAAACAGUCCCAGACAUCCUGGGCCAUUUCAGCCACACUAGCUGGAGCUCCAGACAGGUAAGUGAAAACAUCUGAGAUCCUCCAGCCCAGGUGAGCCAUCCUAGCCAAGACUACACGGGACAAAGAGGAGCACCCUGCCCAAAUCCUGCCUAAUUUGGAGAAUUGUAGGCAAAAAUGUGGCUGCUGUUGUUGUUGUUAGCCACUCACUUUUGGCAUGGCUCCUUAUGCAGCAGUAGAUCCGAAGCGUGGUCUUCCCUGGGAAGAAUCCUAGCCUCAGAAGCACCCUAUCCAAGAGUAGUUUGUUUCCUUUGUCUCAUGUUUUUAUCUUCUGUCCUGAGCAACUUCCUCUUUAUUUCUUCAGUUACCACUCCACUAUCUGAUCUAUCCACUCUCCAUGGAUUUUCAAGGAAGAUCAGUGAUGUUGUGAAAAAGGUCUUGACCUUUGAUUGGUACCCUCAGAGAAGACUAUCAGUUCCUACUGCUGAGACUAAGGGCUGAACUGAGGAUGGCCUCCCCUCUGCUUAAGUCAGGCAAACACUACUGCUGUUCUCUUCUAGGUAUUUGAUCCCUGGGUCGAGGACAUCCCCUGGAGAAGGAGCCUGUAAAACCCCUUGGACAGAGGAGCCUGGUGAGCUAGGUCCAUGGGGUCACAAAGAGUUGGACAUGACUGAGCACACGCAUGCACAAUUAGCUACAUAGCCACUACUGCAAUUCAGUGGGAAACAAACGGUGCUGGAUCAACCGGAUAAACAUACAGGAAAACUAGUUUGAGAUGAAUCAUAAUCUUUUACAUGAAAAUAAAGCAAUCACACUUCUAGAAGAAAACA